rnacentral:rRNA from 1 species
CAAUAGCGUAUAUUAAUGUUGUUGCAGUUAAAAAGCUCGUAGUUGGAUUUCUGGCGGGAGCGCGCGGUCCGCCCCUCACGGGGUGUGCACUUGUGCGUCUUUGGCCAUCCUUGGCGAGAGCGUCGUGGGCAUUAAGUUGUCCGUGUCGGGAUCGCCAUCAUUACUGUGAAAAAUUAGAGUGUUCAAAGCAGGCCUAUGCUCUGAAUAGGUUAGCAUGGAAUAAUAAAAUAGGACUUUGGUUCUAUUUUGUUGGUUUCUAGGACCGAAGUAAUGAUUAAUAGGGACAGUUGGGGGCAUUCAUAUUCCAAUGUCAGAGGUGAAAUUCUUGGAUUAUCGGAAGAUGAACUUCUGCGAAAGCAUCUGCCAAGGAUGUUUUCAUUGAUCAAGAACGAAAGUUAGGGGAUCGAAGACGAUUAGAU